UGUCUAAGUAGGGAGCAUUAUUGAAUAAAUUUGGUUUUGGAAUCUAAAGUUGGGGAGAGUAAAAUGAGAGUUGAUUAGAAUCUUGGAAAAGUGAGUUUUUAUGAAAGGGUAAAAAUUUGAAAAGAAACAAGAAAAAGAAAAUAUCCUUGAAGCCAUAGAGCAAAGAAAAAAGUAAAGAAAAAAAAAUCAAAGAAAAUGCUCAUGGUUGUGUGGAUGU
rnacentral:lncRNA from 1 species